GACGUAGGGGGCCAGCGUUGUUCGGAAUUACUGGGCGUAAAGCGUGCGUAGUCGGUUAUCUAAGUCGGGUGUGAAAUCCCCGGGCUCAACCUGGGAAUUGCAUUCGAUACUGGAUAGCUAGAGUUCGGCAGAGGGAAGCGGAAUUUCCGGUGUAGCGGUGAAAUGCGUAGAUAUCGGAAGGAACAUCAGUGGCGAAAGCGGCUUCCUGGACCAGAACUGACGAUCAGGCACGAAAGCGUGGGGAGCAAACAGG
rnacentral:rRNA from 1 species